rnacentral:lncRNA from 1 species
AGGCACGAGGUUCACGCAGCCAGAGUAGAUGACAGCCCUGGGAUGGCCUGUGUUGCAGGCUGGGCCCCCGCCCUGGCUUCUGGUCUUGCGCCGAGCCCCAGGGUGCUCCCGAGCUGGCCGGGAUGAAUGCUGCUGUCUCAGACCCCAGCCUGGGGCACCGAUGUGGCUUCUCCUGGGUGGGGCUGGCCCCUGAGCCCACCUUGGCUUGAUGAGCUGGGGCUGUAGAAGGAGGGGCUUGCCUCUUUAGCAUCUGCUCCUCAGAGAAGGGGUCCUACAUUUGCUGGAACGUUCCCUGUGCUUGCUGCUCUGCACGCCCCUCCGUUGCCCCUCUGCAAACCGUGAUCCCGCACCUGUGUGUUCACUUGCUUUAUGAGGUUAGGAGCUGCGGUCCCAGGGGCCUUGGAGGAGUGGCCAGGCCAGACGACACUUCAGCUGGUGGUGUCCCAAGGGGAUUCUGCCUCUAGAGGUACCUCGAGAGAUCAGCACUCUGCAGGGUCCUUCUCUGUGGUUCCUGCCCCUCCCCUUUUCCAAGGGAUCAAGGUCAGGAAGCAAAUGAGAUUCCCUGGUCCCCAUCUCCCUCCCACCCCCCACCCAGAGAAAGAUGCUUUUAUGUCCUUUCAGGCGUUCCCCAGGAGCCGAGGAAGAAAGGCAGGGAAGACAGGCUAGGACCACUUGGCUGGAGAAACAGCAGGCCAUUUUCCAGCUGGAUCUAAAUGAAAGAUUUGGCAGCCUGCCAGCCCACAGCAUCCGCCAGAAUCCCUCCCUGGGGACUGGCGAGACUCAGCCGCUAUCUGCAGUGCCGCCUGCGCCUUCCAGACGAAGGGUCCUCCCCUCCUCCCUGAGCUUGACCUUCCCGCUGUUAUUAGCAGUGACGUCACUAACAAUGAUUAUUCUUCCUGCAGUUAUUAUCAUGCACCUUCUUCGUGCUGUGUGCCAUUCGUAUCUCAUUUAUUUCUCAAAUCACCCCUCGGGGGCAGGAGAGAGGUGCACAGCAGUUACAUUUUUUUUCUGUUGAGAAAGAGGAGGCCAGACAUUGUGUUCUCUGCCAGAUGUCACCUGGCCCCCUUCACCAUGUCCUGGGAAAAUGCCCUAUGUCCCCAAGUCCUGGGUGGGCAGGGCUGCCGUGACCUGGAAGCCCUAGGAGGGGUGCUCCUGGCCAAACCCCAAAAGUCCAGGGUCCACCCGGCCCACCUCCUUUGCCCCAUCUGCUCCACGGGCCCCUGACCUCGGUCGUGUGGUGAUCAAGACAGGCGAGAGGCGGGGUGACUGAGCCCUGAGGGCCCACAGGGACAGAGUCUGUCACCUCCAAGCGGAAAAAGAGGCUACUCCAAGAAGUCCAAGUGAUCAGAAUUCAGUGGUGGCCUGGUGUCCUCAGCAAGUGACUUCUGAGAUUAGACUUUGAGCAUUUUCUUUCCCUUUUUUGUGGGGGAGGGGGGAGCAGGGACACGGGCCAGGGACAAAGCAGUGCAAACCUUUGCGAAUAAAGGGAGGAAAGGCCCCCUGCCACCGCCCCUGAGAGAGAAAACAAAACGGCAGUUACAAUGGAGUGGUCAAAAGUACCCAAAAUUGGAGUUCCCGUUGUGGCUCAGCAGGUUAAAAACCCAAUGUAGAGUCCAUGAAGAGGCAGGUUCAAUCCCUGGCCUCGCUCAGUGGGUUAAGGAGCCAGCAUUGCUGAGAGCCCUGUGGGGUAGGUCGCAGGUGUGGCUCAGAUCUGGAGUUGCUGUGGCUGUGGCGUAGGCUGGCAGCUGCCCCUCUGAUUCAAACCACAGCCCAGGAACCCCCAUAUGCCACAGGUGCAGCUGUAAAAAGAAACAGGGAAAAAAUACCUACAAUUGACUACAUAAAUUUUGGAAUAUAAUUCUGCAUUGUUUGUACUGAGUCACGGUAAAAGUCAUACAUUUUUGGUAAAGAUAGAUCAUAAAAGCAGAGAAAGCCCUAGGGAGGCUGGAAGAGGCUACACCCUUCCGGGGGGUGGGGGGGGGGCAGUAGCUGGCUCCUGCCCUUUGAGCAUCGUGCAGGCUCGCACCUGCCCAGACCUCUCCAACCAAGCCUUUGACGAGGUCCACUCUCGGCUCCUGGCUUCUUGUGCAACCUGUCUUGCUGCCUUCUGGGAGGAGGGUUGAGACUCGUGCUGGCUUGGGAAUAAAUCCUGCCAGUCAGAGGAGGCACAUUUGCAAGGAAUUCAUGUCCCACUGCUGCCAGGGAACUCCAGAGCCUUCCUUCCACACCAAGCCCCCCCCCCACGUUGCUGAGCAGCCCCAGGGGCCCCCGAGUCUGUCUCCUCAGCCAUCUGACAAACUGGACAACCACCAAAUGUACAGUCAUAGCGUUGUCCCAGCAAUCCAGAUAGUUCUGCCUGGGGCCCUGGAAACUGGCAGGAAGGGCCCUUCCAAAUGUUUAUACUUGAGGAGUUCCCAUCGUGGCUCAGUGGUAACAAACCCAACUCGUAUCCAUGAGGAUGCAGGUUCAAUCCCUGGCCUUGCUCAGCGGGUUAAGGAUCUGGCACUGCUAUGGCUGUGGUGUAGGUUGGCAGCUCAGCUGAGAUUCAACCCCUAGCCUGGGAAAUUCCGUAUGCUGCAGGUGUGGCCCUAAAA